rnacentral:rRNA from 1 species
CCCUUAGAUGUUCUGGGCCGCACGCGCGCUACACUGAUGCAUUCAACGAGUCUAAAACCUGCUCUGAUAGGGGUGGGUAAUCUUUUGAAUGUGCAUCGUGAUUGGGAUAGAUGAUUGCAAUUUUUCAUCUUCAACGAGGAAUGCCUAGUAAACGCAAGUCAUCAGCUUGCAUUGAUUACGUCCCUGCCCUUUGUACACACCGCCCGUCGCUCCUACCGAUUGAAUGAUCCGAUGAAUAUCAUGGAUUGAGGAUGCAAGUAGGUUAACCUAUCUUCAUCUUCGAGAAGUGAAGUAAAUCUUAUCAUUUAGAGGAAGGAGAAGUCGUAACA